GUUGCUCUGCCACCCCCCGCUGGCUUUGAUCUCAGUCCCUUGGAGCUUGGCCUGAGCUUUGAGGUCCCCCGCUGGGCUGCCCCAGGCUGUAACUCCAGUGCACAGGGACGCAGUCUCACAAUAUCACAGUCUGGAUCUGGCCUCCUGCCUGCUGGGCUAUGGAUUCCCCCCACCCCCACCCCCCGCCCCCGCUGAGGGACACAGGGGGAGGUAACAAAGGAAAAAGGUGACUUUGGGCCAGACCGGGGAGAGGUUUGCAGGCCGAGGGCAGCUAGGCAGACACACUUUGAUGGGCAAAGAGAGCCACACAUCCUGGCCUUCUGAGUGGCGUGGAAGACCUGAGGGGGUGGUGGGAGGUCAUGGUCAGGAAUCCAGGCUCUGGGUGGGAAGACCUGUUCACAUUCCAGCCUAAGCCAUUUAUUCCCUGUGCAGCCAUUGCCAAGUUCUUGAACCACUGUGAGCCUCUGUUUGCUCAUCUGUAAAAGAGGGGUGAUAAGAUGAGAUACGUCGAAGGGUUGCUAUGAGAAUUACAUGAAGAGAUAUAUGUGAAAGUGCCUGGCUCGUUGUAUUCACUCUAAACUGUAGUGUCAUGGAUGCUGAGGUCUCAGCUGACUUUGGGAGGAAUCAGAGCCAGCUCUUUAGAAGCACAGCCUACAGUGGUUCUUGGAGCCUUUUCUCUGCCUUCUGCAUGACGGGACUCUAACUCCCACUUUCUUGGACCCUCGUUCUCUUUUCUCUCUGGCUCAUAGCCCGGGUUGGAUUUAACGAAUUUUGAGGGACAGCCAUCCGCCCUUCUUUCAUCGUCCUGCUCCGGCUGCUUCUGCUCCCAGCUGCCCAGUGGAUCUUCAAGCCCUGCUCAAAGUCCUCGAUGACUCCCUGUGACCACAGAGGAAAUAGCAACCUCCUCGGCUUUUAAUGACAUUAGGAAGAAGUGAUGUGACUUACAGGAUGGGCCAUCGAAACCAGUGUCCGCAGGACCUUACGUAUCCAUUCGAAAGAUCCAGAAGACAAACUAAACUUUUCCUUUUCCAUUCAGAUGUUUUCCUGCUGGGUGGCCAAAAAGUCUGAAACAACUGAAUUCCUGGGCGCUCCACAAACCUCUCCCAGUCCCCAACUUUCACAAGUGUUUUAUUCCCAAACUCUGUCCAGAUAAAAGAAAGGCCAGUGCUAACACUGAACACACGAGUCCAGGAACCAGAGGUAUGAGUGGAAACAAAGACUCUGGUUUUGCCAGGUAAAUGUUGUCAAAUAUAUGAACAUACAAAUAUAUUUAUCUCCAGUGGGUUGUAAACAGAGCGUGCAUCUCAUACAAUGUCCAAAUUCACUUGCAAGAAGAUGGUAACUGGUUUUGGAGCAUCCCACGUGUCUGAAGCCAAGGAUCCUCCCUUGCUGCGUGAUUCAGGAGAUUUGGAAAUGUUCUGCAAGCAAUGUGGUUUUAAAAUGAAGCCCAGUACAAGCUUUUGAUCUGUAUGGGAUAGUCCGUGUGCAUGAGCAACUCUACUGUAUCGACAGCCUCAAUUUAAACACUCCUCACGUACAGAAUCUGGAUUUAUUAUUUUGCUUUGGGAAACACACGUCUUUUGACUUUUCUACAUCUAUGAUCCCUGGAGAGGUGAGGUCAGAGUCCUGGGGUCUUUCUAAGGUCAGCACCCAAGUGUAGCCUUGGCAGCUUUAGGGCCAUUGGCACAUGUGCCAUAAACAAUCGCUGUUCCAGGGGGAACCAGUAAAAAUCUUUCCCUGAACGCAUCGUGGGUCACAACAGGAGGAAACACUCCAUCACGGAAAAGUGACACUAAUGUAUUCUAUUAGAUUUGCUUAUCAUGUUAAAGAGCAUAUUAAAAGGAAAUGUUUGGAAAAGAGAUGCCAUAACCGGGUCUGAUGGAUUGAGAAUUCCUAAUUUGGAAAAAAUGUGCUAAGACAACAUGAUUGAUGUGAGUGACCUACUUUAUUUUAUAAGAAAGUAUGAGUUGCCUUGGGCUUAUUGGUACACAUAUUUGGAAAAAGUUGGUUUUUUUCCACAUUAAGUUUUUAUUAACAUUUUCAAAAGCGCAGAAACACCAUAGAAGGCUAUAAGUUGUGACUUGUCAAUGCAGAUGUGUGUGUAGUCACUCGCUGCCUUAGAAAAAUUUAUCCCCUUGCUGGAAGGGUUUCUGAAUGAGGAGUUUCUUGCCAAGCAAAUACCUGUUGGGGGAAAAGAUGAUACCUUUUUGACUGAGAGAAGAUGACAAGAAGGGGGCGUUUUUGUUUAAAACACAAAUGGAUCUUCUCCACCGUGUAGAAAAAAUACACGGCAGAAAACUUAGAAUGAUUUCCAUUUCAUGGUGCCUCCUGGCGACCUUCCCGCUGCACGGAGUGAACAGGAUUGGGCUGAGUUAACCGUUUUAUUUUGACUUUAGAAGCUGGAACCCCCAGGGGAGGCUCCCCGUUGUCAAAUGAAGCUACUUGGUCUGGAAGUUGGGAAUUUGGGGGUUAUCCCAGGAAACAGAAGGAACUGUGAAGGCUCCAAGGAGGGUUGGUGGCUGACAGAAUACUACUAUUAAAAUAAUGUUGCCAGUGAGGUUAAGAACUUAAGAAAUGCCUGUUGUAUAAUGUUCGUUGAAGAAGGGGAGAUGUGAAGCAGAAAUAUGUAUUUAAAAGCAGAGGUGGGAGAAUAAGUUUUCUGAAGGCAACUUGUCAGCUUCGUCGCAAAAGCCUUUUGCAUCCAGAAAGUCCACUUCUAGAAAUUUCUCCUAAAGAAAGAAUCAUAAUAUUCAUAAAUAUUUUGGUAAUGAGGUGUUUACUCUAGAAUCACAAUAUUGCAAAAUGGACUCAACUGUUCAAAGUGAGAGGAUCGCUUAAAUAAAUUCAUACAUUUAAUGCA
rnacentral:lncRNA from 1 species